GACGAACGCUGGCGGCGUGCUUAACACAUGCAAGUCGAACGGAAAGGCCCUGCUUGCAGGGUGCUCGAGUGGCGAACGGGUGAGUAACACGUGGGUGAUCUGCCCCUUACUUUGGGAUAAGCCUGGGAAACUGGGUCUAAUACUGGAUAGGACCAUGCUGUAGGUGGUGUGGUGGAAAGAUUAGUUUCGGUAAGGGAUGAGCUCGCGGCCUAUCAGCUUGUUGGUGGGGUAAUGGCCUACCAAGGCGUCGACGGGUAGCCGGCCUGAGAGGGUGGACGGCCACAUUGGGACUGAGAUACGGCCCAGACUCCUACGGGAGGCAGCAGUGGGGAAGAUUGCACAAUGGGGGCAAGCCUGAUGCAGCGACGCCGCGUGGGGGAUGACGGCCUUCGGGUUGUAAACUCCUUUCAGCCAUGACGAAGCCCUGGUGGUGACGGUAGUGGUAGAAGAAGCACCGGCUAACUACGUG
rnacentral:rRNA from 1 species